rnacentral:rRNA from 1 species
AUUGAACGCUGGCGGCAUGCUUUACACAUGCAAGUCGAACGGUAACAGGGUGCUUGCACCGCUGACGAGUGGCGAACGGGUGAGUAAUGCGUCGGAACGUGCCGAGUAGUGGGGGAUAACGCAGCGAAAGUUGUGCUAAUACCGCAUACGUACUGAGGUAGAAAGUGGGGGACCUUCGGGCCUCACGCUAUUCGAGCGGCCGACGUCUGAUUAGCUAGUAGGUGAGGUAAAGGCUCACCUAGGCGACGAUCAGUAGCGGGUCUGAGAGGAUGAUCCGCCACACUGGGACUGUGACACGGCCCAGACUCCAACGGGGGGCAGCAGUGGGGAAUUUUGGACAAUGGGCGAAAGCCUGAUCCAGCCAUGCCGCGUGUCUGAAGAAGGCCUUCGGGUUGUAAAGGACUUUUGUCAGGGAGGAAAUCCCUAGUGCUAAUAACACUGGGGGAUGACAGUACCUGAAGAAUAAGCACCGGCUAACUACGUGCCAGCAGCCGCAGUAA